rnacentral:rRNA from 1 species
CCCUUAGAUGUCCUGGGCCGCACGCGCGUUACACUGAUGCAUUCAACGAGCUUAUAACCUUGGCCGAGAGGCCUGGGCAAUCUUGUUAACGUGCAUCGUGAUAGGGAUAGAUUAUUGAAAUUAUUAAUCUUGAACGAGGAAUUCCUAGUAAACGCAGAUCAUCAAUCUGCAUUGAUUACGUCCCUGCCCUUUGUACACACCGCCCGUCGCACCUACCGAUUGGAUGGUCCGGUGAAGCCUCGGGAUUGUGGUUCUUGCCGCUUUAUUGUGGCGUGACCGCGAGAACUUGUCUAAACCUGAUCAUCUAGAGGAAGGAGAAGUCGUAACA